AUUGAACGCUGGCGGCAGGCCUAACACAUGCAAGUCGAGCGGAUGAAAGGAGCUUGCUCCUGGAUUCAGCGGCGGACGGGUGAGUAAUGCCUAGGAAUCUGCCUGGUAGUGGGGGACAACGUUUCGAAAGGAACGCUAAUACCGCAUACGUCCUACGGGAGAAAGCAGGGGACCUUCGGGCCUUGCGCUAUCAGAUGAGCCUAGGUCGGAUUAGCUAGUUGGUGAGGUAAUGGCUCACCAAGGCGACGAUCCGUAACUGGUCUGAGAGGAUGAUCAGUCACACUGGAACUGAGACACGGUCCAGACUCCUACGGGAGGCAGCAGUGGGGAAUAUUGGACAAUGGGCGAAAGCCUGAUCCAGCCAUGCCGCGUGUGUGAAGAUGGUCUUCGGAUUGUAAAGCACUUUAAGUUGGGAGGAAGGGUUGUAGAUUAAUACUCUGCAAUUUUGACGUUACCGACAGAAUAAGCACCGGCUAACUCUGUGCCAGCAGCCGCUGUAACAC
rnacentral:rRNA from 1 species